UACUUGGAUAACUGUGGUAAUUCUAGAGCUAAUACAUGCAAAUUAGAGUUCCGACCAGAGAUGGAAGGAACGCUUUUAUUAGAUCAAGACCAAUCGGUGGUGGGUUUUACCUGUCCAUCGUUAACUUUGGUGACUCUGAAUAACUUUGUGCUGAUCGCAUGGUCUCGUACCGGCGACGAAUCUNAUUCCGACCAUAGAUGGAAGGAACGCUUUUAUUAUAUCAAGACCAAUCGGUGGUGGGUUUUACCUGUCCAUCGUUAACUUUGGUGACUCUGAAUAACUUUGUGCUGAUCGCAUGGUCUCGUACCGGCGACGAAUCUUUCAAAUGUCUGCCUUAUCAACUGUCGAUGGUAGGUUCUGCGCCUACCAUGGUUGUAACGGGUAACGGGGAAUCAGGGUUCGAUUCCGGAGAGGGAGCCUGAGAAACGGCUACCACAUCCAAGGAAGGCAGCAGGCGCGCAAAUUACCCACUCCCGGCACGGGGAGGUAGUGACGAAAAAUAACGAUACGGGACUCAUCCGAGGCCCCGUAAUCGGAAUGAGUACAGUUUAAAUCCUUUAACGAGGAUCCAUUGGAGGGCAAGUCUGGUGCCAGCAGCCGCGGUAAUUCCAGCUCCAAUAGCGUAUAUUAAAGUUGUUGCGGUUAAAAAGCUCGUAGUUGAAUCUGUGUGCCACGCUGUCGGUUCACCGCUCGCGGUGUUUAACUGGCAUGAUUGUGGGACGUCCUACCGGUGGGCUUAGCUCUGCGAAAGCAAGAGCGGUCCAACUAAUAUCCCAUCGCGGUGCUCUUCAUUGAGUGUCGAGGUGGGCCGGUACGUUUACUUUGAACAAAUUAGAGUGCUUAAAGCAGGCUAUUUUCGCCUGAAUACUGUGUGCAUGGAAUAAUGGAAUAGGACCUCGGUUCUAUUUUGUUGGUUUUCGGANUGCCACGCUGUCGGUUCACCGCUCGCGGUGUUUAACUGGCAUGAUUGUGGGACGUCCUACCGGUGGGCUUAGCUCUGCGAAAGCAAAAGCGUUCCAACUAAUAUCCCAUCGCGGUGCUCUUCAUUGAGUGUCGAGGUGGGCUGGUACGUUUACUUUGAACAAAUUAGUGUGCUUAAAGCAGGCUAUUUUCGCCUGAAUACUGUGUGCAUGGAAUAAUGNAGUAUUUAACUGGCAUGAUUGUGGGACGUCCUACCGGUGGGCUUAGCUCUGCGAAAGCAAGAGCGGUCCAACUAAUAUCCCAUCGCGGUGCUCUUCAUUGAGUGUCGAGGUGGGCCGGUACGUUUACUUUGAACAAAUUAGAGUGCUUAAAGCAGGCUAUUUUCGCCUGAAUACUGUGUGCAUGGAAUAAUGGAAUAGGACCUCGGUUCUAUUUUGUUGGUUUUCGGAACCCCGAGGUAAUGAUUAAUAGGGACAGAUGGGGGCAUUCGUAUUGCGACGUUAGAGGUGAAAUUCUUGGAUCGUCGCAAGACGAACAGAAGCGAAAGCAUUUGCCAAAAAUGUUUUCAUUAAUCAAGAACGAAAGUUAGAGGUUCGAAGGCGAUCAGAUACCGCCCUAGUUCUAACCAUAAACGAUGCCAGCUAGCGAUCCACCGAAGUUCCUCCGAUGACUCGGCAGGCAGCUUCCGGGAAACCAAAGCUUCUGGGUUCCGGGGGAAGUAUGGUUGCAAACCUGAAACUUAAAGGAAUUGACGGAAGGGCACCACCAGGAGUGGAGCCAGCGGCUUAAUUUGAUUCAAUACGGGAAACCUCACCAGGCCCGGACACCGGAAGGAUUGACAGAUUGAUAGCUCUUUCUUGAUUCGGUGGGUGGUGGUGCAUGGCCGUUCUUAGUUGGUGGAGCGAUUUGUCUGGUUAAUUCCGAUAACGAACGAGACUCUAGCCUGCUAAAUAGGCGUACUUUCUGGUAUCUUGAAGGCCCCUCGAUUUCGGUUGAGCGGUUUUUACUACCGACGUACAAACAANCACGUACAAACAAAUUUUCUUAGAAGGACAGGCGACUUCUAGCCGCACGAGAUUGAACAAUAACAGGUCUGUGAUGCCCUUAGAUGUUCUGGGCCGCAUGCGCGAUACACUGAAGGAAUCAGCGUGUCUUCCGUGGCCAAAAGGCCCGGGUAUCCCGCUGAACCUCCUUCGUGCUAGGGAUUGGGGUUUGCAAUUAUUCCCCAUGAACGAGGAAUUCCCAGUAAGCGCGAGUCAUAAGCUCGCGUUGAUUACGUCCCUGCCCUUUGUACACACCGCCCGUCGCUACUACCGAUUGAAUGAUUUAGUGAGGUCUUCGGACUGGUGCGCGGCAAUGUUUCGGCAUUGCCGAUGUUGCCGGGAAGAUGACCAAACUUGAUCAUUUAGAGGAAGUAAAAGUCGUAACAAGGUUUCCGUAGGUGAACCUGCGGAAG
rnacentral:rRNA from 1 species